GGGGUCUCGGUGCUGCGGAGCGAUCCUGCGGUUCGGGACCCCCGGGAUCUGCGUGGCCCAGAGAGGCUGGGCCACUCGGAGCGUCCGGGCCGCCUGCCUCCAGCAGCUCUGCCUCAGACCUGACGGUCAACCCCAUCCGUGCGACUUUAGGGCUGUCGUUUCGUCUCCUUAAGCUAAAGAUGCGUACCACUAACCCCGGUGCCUCCCCAAGGGCAUGAGUACUAGAGGGGGCAGAUCCUGGCCCCAAGUGGGACCCUACGGUCUGGUUUUCUGGAGCCAGAAAACAGUUGUUUUGACUUGUCUUAUACCACGUGAUCUCCCUGAGCGCUCCCUUGGAUGUGUUAAUUUGCUUGCUGCGGUCAGCCCCUUGAGGCAUGAAGCCCGGCGGACCUACUUUUCGUCUUCUCACCUUUUAAUUGCUUUUGUUCCGUUACAGAAAUUGACACCUGUCGUUCCGAAUGGACUCCGAAGAAAACUGUCCAAAGUAGCGAGCGGCUACUAAAGGGCAGGACAGGCGGUGUAGGUACUGUACCCUUGCAGUCUUUGCCCCAAAGGGAACCUAGGAUCUAAGUGCGGGCCAAAGAGGUGGGGGCUGCUAAAGAGAAUCCUUAAGAGUGUAUAGUAAAUAUGCUUCAGUUUCUGUGAGUUCAUAUGAGCUUUGCUCAUGUUGAUUUAGAUGGCCUGGUUUUCUUCGUGUCCUCCAUCCCCUCUGGUUUUUAUACUCUUUCCUGUGUCUUCCUUGGUGUUCCCUGAGCUCCAAGGGGAGGGAUUUGAUGGAGCCAUCCAUUUUCCAAGGUCUCUCACUCUCUGCGUAAUGUCUGGCUGUGGGUCUCUAUUUUUGUGCUCAUCUGGUGCAGGAGGAAGUUUCUCUGAUGAUGUCUGAACAAGACACUGAUGUAUGAGUAUAGGAGAGCAUCAUUAGGAGUCAUUUUAUCACUACAUUUUUUAAAGACCAGUAUUAUUUGGUUUUACUCUAAGUCUCUGGGCUAUCUAGUCUCUGGUCACCCCAAGCAUGUCGGGUAUAUGGAUUCCAUCUCCUGAAAUCAAAGUCCAAUCAGUUUUUGGUUGGUUACUCCCAUACGCUUUGGCCACCAUUGCCCUAGUAUAUCUUGCAGGCAGGACAUCACUGUAGGUCAAAGGGUUUGUGGCUGGUUCGGUGUUUGGUUUCACUUUUGGUAAUGUGCAAAGUGCCUUCCUGUACGAAAGACGCUAGAGCAUAGGGGAGAAGGCUCUAUGAGGGCACCCGCUCGACAGCUCCAGGUUCAGUGGGUUAUGUAGGUGCUGUCUGCAGCGGUGGGACCUGCUGUCGGUUUGUGGAGAGCAACAUGUAGUCUCGGCAACACCCUGGGUUGUUUGAGGAUUCCCAUGGGGUCCUUUUGGCCAACAACUCAAUUAGGUGUAACCCACUCCCUGCACUGGAAGUUUCAUUUGGUGACAAGAGAUGGCCAGGUGGGACUGUGUCCAGCAUUAUUUGGAGAUUCACUUAGGUUGCCUUCAUAUAUGUAUAUAUUUUAGGAAGUUUCUCCUGUAUUAGGCUUCCAUACUACCCCUCAAAUGCUUCUUCCAACCCUCCCUCCCCUCCCCACUUGAUUCUUCCAUUCCAUCCCCCCAUCCAUCCAUAACACUUUCCUAAUAAGAUCUGUCUGUUCCCUCUUGUCCCUUACUCUAUACCUACCCUCUGUGGUUUUAUGGAAUUGUAGAUUGGUUAUCAUUGACUUAACAGCUGAUAUCCACAUAUAACUGAACACAUACCAUAUUUGUCUUUCUGGAUCUGGAAUACCUCACUUGGGAUGAUUUUUUUUUUCUAGCUCCAUCUAUUUGCUUAUAAAUUUCAUGUUGCCUUUUUUUUUUAAAUGGCUGAGUAAUACUCCAUUGUGUAAAUGUACCACAUUAUCUUUAUUCAUUCUUCUCCUGAGGGACAUCUAGGUGGUUUCCAGUUUCUGGCUAUUAUGAAUGGAGCAGCAGUGAAUAUGGCUGAACAAGUGUCUCUGUGGCAGGAUAAAUCGUUCUUUGGAUAUAUGCUCAAGAGUGGUAUAGCUGGAUUUUAAGGUAGAUUCCCAUCUUCCUGAGGAACUGUGGGCGUGGGUCUUCACCAGGUCCUCUAUGUUUAUAGUAUGGCCUCCAGUUUAUGUUUUUAUGGGAUUUCUGAGUGUUCAAAUGAGUAGGUCUCUGAUUCUUGUGCCUUCUUUUGGAUUCUUUUCCUUCUGUUCAUCUCACUUUGAUGUGGUAGUUUUUGUUUUUUAAGGAAGCCUGGGACAUUUUUAAAAAUUUAUUAAUUAAUUAUGUAUACAGUGUUCUGCCUGCAUGUGUGCCUGCAUGCCAGAAGAGGGCACCAGAUCUCAUCAUAGAUGGUUGUAAGCCAUCAUGUGGUUGCUGGAAUUGAACUCAGGACCUCUGAAAGAGCAGCCAGUGCUCUUAACCUUUGAGCCAUCUCUCCAGCUAGUUUUUGUUUUAUCUUAUUAUAUUUUAUUUUGUUAUGUUUAAAAAAUGAAUGAGAGGCUGGAGAGAUGGCUCUGCAGUUAAGAGCACUGGCUGCUCUUCCAGAGGACCCAAGUUCAAUUUCCAGCACCCACAUGACAGCUCACAACUGUCUGUAAUUCCAGUUCCAGGGAUCUGACACCCUCACACAGACAUACAUGCAGGCAAAACACCAAUGCACAUAAAAUAAAAAUAAAUUUAAAAAAUGAAUGAAAACCUAGCCACUGGGUUUAAGGUUAACUAACAACUGAACUGUCAUUUAUACUAGCUGGGAGAGAGAAAAUCAGUUUUCUCCAAUGGAGUGACACUGGGUAUAUCAACCACUCUAGGGCAGUCCUCAUGUUCAGGAGUAGUUGACCAAUAUAUAAUGGAUUCCACAGUUUUUUGGUUGCUUUUAUUUGGUUACAGUUUUAUUUUUAUUUUUGGGAGUUGUUUUAUUUUCUUGGUAUUAUUGUAGUAUUGGGUGUUUGUAUUUUGUUUUUUGAGAAACAACUUGAAGUUGGGAGGGGGAGAGGAUCUGAAACGACUUGGGGAAGGGGAAGAAUAUGAUAAAGUAUAUUUAAAUGUAAAAGUUAUUUUUAAAUAAUUAAAAACAUAAUAAAAAAAGAGUACCCAGAGUAGCUGGAUAAUAAGCCUCUCCCUACCCCAAUUUACUUAUUUUGUGUGUGGAGGUCUGUAGAUGAUUUUAUAUAGUCUUCUCUCUCUUCCCACCUUUAUGUGGGGAUGGAACUUAGGCCAGGCUUGCCCAGCAAAUGCUUGUACUCUCAGCCAUCCCCAACCCCAAGCUCUACCGGUCUGAGCUUUGGUCCAACUCACCUGGACUUUAGCCUCUAAAGGUCAAGGACACAAAGUCUGCUUCCAGGGUGCCCUCAUCCUAUUUGGGGGUCAUCAGGUCAAUAGUUUUGGUGGUAUUGUGUUCCCCAAAAUAUUGUGCACCUUAAUAAACUUAUCUGGGAUCAGAGAACAGAACAGCCACUAGAUACAUUGGCUAGAAAAUGGUGGCACUCAUGCCUUUAAUCCUAGCAUUCCAGAGGCAGAAAUCCGUCUGGAUCUCUGUGAGUUCAAGGCCACAUUGGAAACAGCCAGGCAUGGUGACACACGCCUUUAAUCCCAGAAAGUGAGGGCAGAAAGCAGAAAAGUAUUUAAGGCGUGAAGACCAGAAACUAGAAGCUUUUAGCUGGUUAAGCUUUUAGGCUUCUAGCAGCAAUUCAGCUGAGAGCCAUUCAGAUGAGGACAUAGAGGCUUCCAGUUUGAGGAAACAGGAUCAGCUGAGGAGUUGGUGAGGCGAGGUAGCUGUGGCUUGUUCUGCUUCUCUGCUCUUCCAGCAUUCACCCCAACAACUGGCACUGGGUUUGUUUUUUAUUAAUAAGACCUUUUAAGAUUCGUGCUACAAAUAGUUCUCUCAGUAGAAGUGAACCCUCCUCCACAGCUGCAGACAGAUUGGGUCUGAGUGUUUGGCUGCACAGUUAAUGGCUCACAAAGAGUACUACAAACUAAAGACACAUAAACUAUUAUUUUGACCUGGGCAUUGGUGGCACAUGCCUUUAAUCCCAGCACUCAGGAGGCAGAGGCAGGCGGAUCUCUGUGAGUUCAAGGCCAGCCUGGGCUACAGAGUGAGAUCCAGGAUAGCCAGGGCUACACAGAGAAAUCUGUCUCAAAACCAAAACAAAUAAUCAAAAAACAAACAAACCAAAAAAAACGCCUGAUGCUUGAUCUCACCUGAUACACACUCUGCUGAACUAGCCUUACUUCCCAACCCCUACAUUACUUAGAAGUAGAUUUUUUUUUUAGUCUCUCCCUCAUUUUAAAAAUCCACCACCAAGGGCCUGGAGUCCAGGGGCCAUCAGUUUUUAUAACAAGAUCUAAAAUAAUCCGCAUACAUUAUAAUCAAGACACCUUAUGACACUCUCGCCGUCCCGUCCCUCUAUCAGCCUAACCCUGAAUUAGCUCCACAUUGAAUGACUAGGGACUAGGGAGUAACUGUCACGAGUUACCGCCCUAGGGUACCCUUCCCACCCGUGUGGCCUGAGCCCGGUAGCGGCGGCCCACUUCAGGGCUCAUUGGAACCCUCCCUCAGUGGUUUCCCUGUAAAAUGUCUCCUAGGAAGGAAGGCAGCAGUUGCAGUAGAACAUCUGGUAGGUAGGAGCCUUGCUUUUGCCCAAUGGGUGCCCCAAGGAGCCUUGAAAAGAGCGGUACCAUGUUGAUAAGCAAGCUCAUACCUGGAGUUCUUCUUAACUAAGCGAGCCGCUGAGUAGAUUUGUGCCUUUAGAUGGCCUUCUUAGGGCAUUUCAGGUGAUGAGGGAAUAUUUUGGGGGGGCUCCCAAGAGAGAUGAGACCCUGUCUCACUAUGUAGCCCAAACUGGUCUCGAACUCCCGAUCUUCUUCCUCAGCCUCCUGAAUGCUGCGUUUGGGAAUCCACCGUCAAAUGGAGGUGGAAAUGUCAUUAGCCUAUUUUCUUCUUUAGCCCUUCCUUCUGGAAUUCCCCGUGGGAGGCAAUAGAUUCAGAGUUUGGUGUCAGACACUUCUGGACACAGACCUCAGCUCUAAAGGGCACAGUCUCUUUACAGUUUAUGGAGGAAGUAUUGAACGGAACAUGAUAACCUUCAAUAAGCUGGUCUGUAUUUCAUGAGUCACAUGGGGAAGCUGAAGGAACAGACUGAACUGCACUCAGGAAUAUUCCCAAGUCAUUUGUGAGGCAGGGCUUGGUACUAAGCCCUGGGGGGAAGGGAAGAGACUUGAAGAGGAAGGAGAUACGGUUCUUGCCCUGUCAGGGUUUCUAACCCCAUAGAGAACUCAGUCCAGAAGGCACUUCCUGUCACUAUGGUGAACACUAGAGGAAUGAGCCCCGGUUAUGCAGUUUCCAAACCAGGGCUCUUCACACACGUUCCAGGCCCCGGUUUCCAGCACUUCCCAGCAUCCAGUCUCACAGUGGCUGGAUUGUCUUUUCCUGUCCCCUGGCAUUGGGCUUCACCCAGUGGCUUGCUUUGGCCUUUGCCAGGAAGAACAAAGUGAGCAUAUGCAGAGGCUUCCUGACGUUGUGCUGGUCUCUGCUGUCACAGAAGAGCCUCUCUUGGGUACCUGCUGCCUCUCCAGCCUGGAUGGUGGAGUCAACAAGGGUCGAUCUGGGCUGCAGGGAGUUGGAAACCAGCCAGCAUUGUGGUGUCACUAACACAGCCAGCUGAAGACCAACAAAGAUUCUUGUUCUAACCCCUACAUUUCAGAACGGUUUGUUCCACUGUGUUAUUGUCGCAAUGGCUAGCCCGUUCCUUUUAUUAGGGUCUAAGUUCAUGCCGAAAGAAAGAACCAGCACACAGUUGCUUAAGAAAGAAGCUUAUUGAGUUCUCAUGGAAUAAUGUGGUUAAGUCCAGGGCAGGGCACCAGGUGGUUCUGUGGAUAAAGGUGCUUGCUGCUGCUGUGAGCCCAAGCCUGAGUCUGAUAUACAGAAUCCACAUAAAGGUUGGAGGAUAGAAUCCACACCACAGAGCUGUGCUCUGACCUCUGUAUACACACUGCCCCUCCUCUACCAUGGUCUUGCCACACUGCCCCCCUCUGUCAUAGUCUUACCCCACAUAUACAAUAGUAAAAAGGAGUCCAGAUAUAGCUCAGUUGGCAGUGAUUGUCCUGCUUAUUAACCUCUGGGUUCCAUCCCAGCACCGAGGCAUGAUGGCACAGUCCUGUAAUCCCAGCACUCAGGAGGUUGAAACAGUAGGGUCAUAAUAUCAAAGUCUUUCUUACAUAGUAGUUGGGCAGCAGCCUGAGCUACAUGAGACCCUGUCUCAAAAAAAACAAUUAUUUUAGAGCUAAAGCCCAUCAUUUACAGGGCUGAGGCAGGAGGAUCAAAGUGAGUUCAAAGCUAGCCUGAGCUACAGUGUUGAGACCCAAUCUCAAUCCCUCACCCCAACAACAAAAAGGCCAGAGCAAAUUUGGUAGCCCAUGUAUGAGGCUCCUGGCUUUCUUUUUUUCAGAGCUAAAUUAUAUAUGUAUUAUAAUACAUACAUACACACACAUAUAUGGGAUUUUGCACAAAUGUGGGUGUCAUCCUUGAACAGGGUCUUGUUAAUCUCUGUAUCAUUCCAACUUUACUAUAUGUACUGUCAAAGGGAGCCCUUGAAAUGAAAUUUGGCCGUGUGUGUGUGUGUGUGUGUGUGUGUGUGUGUGUGUGUGUGUGUGUUGGAAGGGAACAUGCCACCGUGUGCAUGUGGAGGUCAAAGGACAUUUGUAGGAGUUUUUUCUUCUACCAUGUAGAUUCCUGGGACUGAACUCAGGGCUGAACUCCCUGGCUGAGCCUUGAUGCAUGGAGCCCUCUGGCUGCCUCCAGGAUCUGCCUUAUUGCUGCAUCUUCCUCGGGAUGGAUACUGCCUUCCUCUGAAGCUUCCAUAGCAUCCACACAUCUAAAUCUCAAUUUCCUUCAGCUGCAGAUGCCCAAACUUUUCACAUUGUGCACCAAACCCUCCUUCAAUGGCACCAUUUAACAGAAAGCCUCUACUUUAUCCUUUUCCACUUCUGCUGUGGGCUUCAAGUCCCACCCCCACCCCCAGGGCUUGGGGACUAGGAUGUGUUCCCCUCUCUCCUCUCCUCCAGGUCUCAAGAUGUCAGAUCUUCAUCCCACCAAGACAUUAGGAGCCAGAGCUUGUGGGGCCUGGUAAGAGGUCUGAGCCUCCAGGUGGGUGUCCGUCUGGGCAAUGUUAUCUGUGUUGGGAAGCCCAAAGGUCAUGGUCCUGUGUUGUAGAAUAUUAUUUUAAGGUGUGUUACUUUUGUUUAUGUUGCAUCUGUUUAGCUCUGUGAAGCUGUGUUACUGUGCCUGUGUAAAACACCUGAUGGUCUAAUAAAGAACUGGCCAAUGACAAGGCAGGAGAAAAGAUAGGUGGGGUUGGCAGACAGAAUAUAUAGAAGGAGAAAUCUGCCAGAGAAGGAGAAGGACUCUAGUAACAAGCCACCCAGCUACACAGCAAGCCACAGAGUAAGAUUUACAGAAGUAAGAGAAUGGGAAAUGCCCAGAGGCAAAAGGUAGAUGGGAUAAGUUAAGGAAACAUGGCAAGAAACAAGCCAAAAUAAGGUCGGACAUUUAUAAUUAAGAAUAAGCCUCCAUGUGAUUUAUUUGGGAACUGGGUGGCAAGCCCCUCCAAAAGAGCCCAAGAGCCAAAAGAGCAAAAACAAACAAAAACAGUCCUGCACAGACAGUGUUUAAAGAAGUGGUCCUUCUUUAUAGACACUCUCCCUGGCAGUGGUUUAAAAAAGGGCUAUGUUUUCAGGGGUCUGCUGAUCAUCUGCCUUCAUUACAGACAGAAUAAACUAAGGAUCAGUUUCAGGCAUUUCAGCAGUCAUCACCUUACUGGGCCUCUGACAGUCUCCACCAUGUAACUGCUUGUGGACCUCCCUACGAUUCAAGAGCCUGGACCAUCCAUUUGUCUACCCAUAGCGUGGCAGGCAUCUGGGUACCUUCAAGGACAGGUUCGGGAAACCUGGGAACCACACACUUCAUGACUCCCUGGACAGAGGUGCUGCUAGUCAUAGGUGCUUGUAUGAGAUCCACGAGGGAGAAGAAAUGGCUGCCAUCUGAUUCCUCCUCCGUCAUAGUGAUGUGCAGCUCCAGAGGCCACCUGGACACUCCCACACCAGUCAGCAGCCUGGGGAACUGACCUUAGCAGUGUUUCCAAAUGACCGAUGUUUCCAGAUGACCGACUCCUUGACUAUCUGGAAAGCAGCUGUGACAAAGGAAACUAAAAGCUAGAGGUACAGUCCCUCACCAGCUGUCACCAACCCCAGCACCUUCAACAAAAAGCACUAAUGACUUGGACAAAAUCCCUUCGGAGACACAACAGUAGCGGACAGACUUUUGGGGAAGUGGAAGAGGAACUCUGGUAGGGAGAGGAGAGGACACAGUGAGGAGGAGGUGAAUAUGAUCAAAGUGUGUCAUACACAUAACAAGGGGCGGGGGAGAUGGUUCAGUAACCAAAGGACGUGUACCACUUUUACAGAGAGCCUGGGUUCAGUUCCCAGCACCCACGCCAGGUGACUCACGACCAGCUUUAACUCCAGCUCCAGGGGAUGUGAGGCCCUCCUGUGGCCUCUGUGGACACCUGCACCCACAUGCACAAACCCAUACACAAUGGGUACACAUCAUUAACAAAUAAAAUAAAGCAGAAAGUCAUAAUGAAACCCA